ACUUUCUAUUUUAUAUAUAUUUAUUUAUCUACGAAGUUUGACGAGCUAAAGAUAUACAAUAUAUAGUAUCGAAAAUUACUGUAACAAUAGUAAUGGUAACUUACCUUUAGGGGUGAUAGGCCUUUCAAGUCAAACGAUAUCUUAACGACAAAGAAAAAUAUUAAGUAUGUAGGUAGUCUAAGAUUGGUAAGGAUUUUAGUAUGCAUUAUAGUUAAUAAUAUUUGGAUCGUCUCUGUAACUAGUACGUUAAUUCUAUAGAAAAAUAUAAAUUUUAAUAAAAAUAUGUUAAUUAUUUGUUUAGAUAACGCAAUUUAUUGUUGCUUUAAUUAUGAGAAUAUUAGUAUAAAAACAAGUUUUUGUAAGGAAUUCGGCAAAUUAUUUUCUCGACUGUUUAACAAAAACAUGCCUUAAGUAUUUUUUUAAGGUAACCCCUGCUCAAUGAUAUAUUAAAUAGCCGCAGUACCCUGACUGUGCAAAGGUAGCAUAAUCAAUUGGCUUAUAAUUGAAGUCUAGUAUGAAUGGGAUACCGGGUAAAUGCUGUCUUAUAAAAAUAAACAGAAUUUACUUAAUAAGUGAAAAUUCUUAUAUAUAGAAAAUAGACGAGAAGACCCUAGAAAUUUUUUCGAAAACUCAAUAGAGAUUUUGUUGGGGCGACAUGGUAGCACUAAACCUACCUAAAUAUAUAAGAAACUAUUAAGUUGAUUAAAUAAAUUACUCUAGGGAUAACAGCAUAAUUUUAUAAAGUUUGUGACCUCGAUGUUGGACUAGGGAGUAUAUACCUCAAAAAGGCGUAUUGCGAGCUCUGUUCGAGCUUUUUUCCCUACAUGAUCUGAGUUCAGACCGG
rnacentral:rRNA from 1 species